rnacentral:rRNA from 1 species
UAAAGAAUUUCGGUCAUCGAUGGGGAUGCGUUCCAUUAGCUUGUUGGCGGGGUAACGGCCCACCAAGGCAUCGAUGGAUAGGGGUUCUGAGAGGAAGGUCCCCCACAUUGGAACUGAGACACGGUCCAAACUCCUACGGGAGGCAGCAGUGAGGAAUAUUGGUCAAUGGGCGCUAGCCUGAACCAGCCAAGUAGCGUGAAGGAUGACUGCCCUAUGGGUUGUAAACUUCUUUUAUAUGGGAAUAAAGUGCAGUAUGUAUACUGCUUUGCAUGUACCUUAUGAAUAAGGAUCGGCUAACUCCGUGCCAGCAGCCGCGGUAAUACGGAGGAUCCGAGCGUUAUCCGGAUUUAUUGGGUUUAAAGGGAGCGUAGGCGGGUUGUUAAGUCAGUUGUGAAAGUUUGCGGCUCAACCGUAAAAUUGCAGUUGAUACUGGCAUCCUUGAGUACAGUAGAGGUAGGCGGAAUUCGUGGUGUAGCGGUGAAAUGCUUAGAUAUCACGAAGAACUCCGAUUGCGAAGGCAGCCUGCUGGACUGUAACCGACGCUGAUGCUCGAAAGUGUGGGUAUCAAACAGGAUUAGAUACCCUGGUAGUCCACACAGUAAACGAUGAAUACUCGCUGUUUGCGAUAUACAGUAA